rnacentral:rRNA from 1 species
CCUACGGGAGGCAGCAGUAGGGAAUUUUCGGCAAUGGGCGAAAGCCUGACCGAGCAACGCCGCGUGAACGAAGAAGGUCUUCGGAUUGUAAAGCCCUGUUAUAGAGGAAGAACGGUGUACGGAGUAAAUGGCGUACAAACGACGGUACCCUGCGAGGAAGCCACGGCUAACUACGUGCCAGCAGCCGCGGUAAUACGGAGGUGGCGAGCGUUAUCCGGAAUCAUUGGGCGUAAAGGGGGAGCAGGCGGCCUGGAGGGUCUAAUGUUAAAAGGCAAGGGCUAAACCAUGGACAGGCGUAGAAACUGGGAGGCUAGAGUGCUAAAGAGGAGAGUGGAAUUCCAUGUGUAGCGGUGAAAUGCGUAGAUAUAUGGAAGAACACCAGUGGCGAAGGCGGCGAUCUGGGAAGAAACUGACGCUGAGUCCCGAAAGCGUGGGGAGCAAAUAGGAUUAGAUACCCCUGUAGUC